CCGAGGCUCCUUAGCCCUCCAGCAUUUGCCCUUCGGGCGGCGCGGCGGCGGCAGGUUAGCAUCCCUGAGGCGACGUCUUCCCGUUGCCUGCCUAGGAGCCGUCCGCUCUGCUAGCCUUGCCGGCCGUGUUGAGCAUGCCCUCCCCGAGACCCCGGCGCGCGGCGUCGCUCUGCUCCGAACCCACCUGCGGGGCACAACCGGCCUAGGAGCUUUGGUCGUGGUGCGUGGGUGUGUACCGUAGUGUGCGGUACUGGAGGAGGAGUGCUGCGUCCCAGCCUUCGCUAUCUCCUCUGUAAAGUAGGGAUACGAAAUAACACGUGUGCUAAGAACUCAGCGCAUAGGUUGUGCGCAAUAAAUGCCUGAUAGACUGAGUGAAGACACACAGCCCAGCCCUGCCUUGUUUGAGGCUGAUCCAGGGGCCUUUAAUUCUGUGGAGGUAAUGUGGGAUUAUUUUACUCCGCACUAUUCUCAAACAUCUCUGAAGAGAGGCCAGCAUAAAAUUAGGAAUUGGAGCACCCUCAGCCCACACAUCCGCUCCUAGAGCCCUUCUUGUCAGGUAGUUUGUCACUUUGGUGGCCCCACAGAAACUUGCCUCCUGACAGUAAUCGAUCCCGGAAUCUGGACUGGACCUGUGACUCGAUUUAACCAAUGGAAGAAUGUGGCAGAAGUGACUACCAAUUACAGAGAUGAGCUUUGAGAAUACCUGGUGACCUUGAUUUUGAGCUCUUGAUGAUCCUGAGCUGCUCCCCUUCUUCCACCUUGCUGUAGAAAGAUGACACACACAGACCACAUGGAGGAAAAGGACCCAGUUACUACCAAGAACUGAGGUUCCAGACACAUGAACCUGAUGAACCCAUCCCAGCUAAAGGACAGUCACUCGGAAGAAGCCAUCUAGGUUGUUCUAGCCAUCUGAGCAAUUCCUCAUUACCUAAACAGAGGAAAUCCAAGUAAGGACAAUUUCCAAGGAUCUUCUCUUCAGAAAUGUGAAGAGCAGUGCUGGGAACUUAUGUAUUUUAAUAAGCAUUCCAGGUGAGUCUUAUGAUCAGACAAGUAUGGCUGACGUUACCAUUAAGCAUCCUCAAUCUUCAGAUCUCACAUCAACAGAAAAUGAGCUGCUCGCGUUGUACAGAAUUCAGAAGAGGAAUCCAUGCCGGGAACCCUUUAGAUAUAGCCAUGGAGGACAAUGAACAAGAGCGAUGAGCACAGAGAAUAGCCUGGAGGCAGUGAAAUGGACUGAACAAGGAUGUUGUCUGCUGCCAAACCAAAGAGCCUUUGCUGCUCCUGUCUUGCAGGAGGAAGUACGCAUUAUGAACCGACGGUGGGGAGCCACAGCUGGCCCUAAAUUCGAAGAAUGCAGCAAGCUCACAACUGAAGGAACCCCUCUUGCCCUGCCCACACACACCUUGCAGCAGACAGGACAUGACUUGAGCUAAUUCUUUUUGGAAAGGGGGUGUUUUCAUUUCUGUACCCCCAGAAGCAUGUCA